rnacentral:rRNA from 1 species
UACGGAGGGUGCAAGCGUUAAUCGGCAUUACUGGGCGUAAAGGGUGCGUAGGUGGUUGGAUAAGUUAGCUGUGAAAUACCUGGGCUUAACCUGGGAUGGUCAGCUAAGACUGUUUGACUCGAGUAUGGGAGAGGGUAGUGGAAUUUCCGGUGUAGCGGUGAAAUGCGUAGAGAUCGGAAGGAACACCAGUGGCGAAGGCGGCUACCUGGCCUGAUACUGACGCUGAAGCGCGAAAGCGUGGGGAGCAAACAGG